rnacentral:rRNA from 1 species
GCUAGUAAUCGUAGGUCAGCAUACUACGGUGAAUACGUUCCCGGGCCUUGUACACACCGCCCGUCAAGCCAUGAGAGUUGGCAACACCCGAAGUCGGUAGUCUAACCGCAAGGAGGACGCCGCCGAAGGUGGGUUGAUGAUUAGGGUUAAGUCGUAACAAGGUACC